rnacentral:rRNA from 1 species
GACGAACGCUGGCGGCGUGCUUAACACAUGCAAGUCGAACGGAAAGGCCCUGCUUUUGUGGGGUGCUCGAGUGGCGAACGGGUGAGUAACACGUGAGUAACCUGCCCUUGACUUUGGGAUAACUUCAGGGAACUGGGGCUAAUACCGGAUAGGAGCUCCUGCUGCAUGGUGGGGGUUGGAAAGUUUCGGCGGUUGGGGAUGGACUCGCGGCUUAUCAGCUUGUUGGUGGGGUAGUGGCUUACCAAGGCUUUGACGGGUAGCCGGCCUGAGAGGGUGACCGGCCACAAUGGGACUGAGGGACGGCCCAGACUCCUACGGGAGGCAGCAGUGGGGAAUAUUGCACAAUGGGCGGAAGCCUGAUGCAGCAACGCUGCGUGCGGGAUGACGGCCUUCGGGUGGUAAACCGCUUUCGCCGGUGAUGAAGCGUGAGUGACGGUAACGGGUAAAGAAGCACCGGCUAACUACGUG